AUGGACUCUGAAGCUGUUCAUGAGCUUCCUCCACCAAUUAGACCGAUGCUAUGGAGUUCUAGCGACGCAUUAUACAAGGAGCUAUGGCAUGCUUGGGCUAGGCCGUUGAUCACAGUGCCUCGCCAAGGUGAAAGGAUUUACUACUUUCCGCAUGUUUAUAUUGGAACAGGAGAAGGAGAUGUAGUCUACAGGAGAGAAGCAACCAUCAAUGGUGUUAAUGUCACCUCUCCAUAG
rnacentral:rRNA from 1 species